AUUGAACGCUGGCGGCAGGCUUAACACAUGCAAGUCGAGCGGAAACGAUACCAGCUUGCUGGUAGGCGUCGAGCGGCGGACGGGUGAGUAACACUUAGGAAUCUACCUAGUAGUGGGGGAUAGCUCGGGGAAACUCGAAUUAAUACCGCAUACGACCUACGGGAGAAAGGGGGCAGUUUACUGCUCUCGCUAUUAGAUGAGCCUAAGUCGGAUUAGCUAGAUGGUGGGGUAAAGGCCUACCAUGGCGACGAUCUGUAGCUGGUCUGAGAGGAUGAUCAGCCACACCGGGACUGAGACACGGCCCGGACUCCUACGGGAGGCAGCAGUGGGGAAUAUUGGACAAUGGGGGCAACCCUGAUCCAGCCAUGCCGCGUGUGUGAAGAAGGCCUUUUGGUUGUAAAGCACUUUAAGCAGUGAAGAAGACUCCACGGUUAAUACCCGUGGACGAUGACAUUAGCUGCAGAAUAAGCACCGGCUAACUCUGUGCCAGCAGCCGCGGUAAUACAGAGGGUGCAAGCGUUAAUCGGAAUUACUGGGCGUAAAGCGAGCGUAGGUGGCUUGAUAAGUCAGAUGUGAAAUCCCCGGGCUUAACCUGGGAACUGCAUCUGAUACUGUUAAGCUAGAGUAGGUGAGAGGGAAGUAGAAUUUCAGGUGUAGCGGUGAAAUGCGUAGAGAUCUGAAGGAAUACCGAUGGCGAAGGCAGCUUCCUGGCAUCAUACUGACACUGAGGCUCGAAAGCGUGGGUAGCAAACAGG
rnacentral:rRNA from 1 species